AUACGUAGGGGGCGAGCGUUAUCCGGAUUUACUGGGCGUAAAGGGCGUGUAGGCGGUCUUGCAAGUCAGAAGUGAAAUUCCUGAGCUCAACUCGGGCGCUGCUUCUGAAACUGCAGGACUUGAGUGCUGGAGGGGAUAGCGGAAUUCCUAGUGGAGCGGUAAAAUGCGCAGAUAUUAGGAAGAACACCGGUGGCGAAGGCGGCUAUCUGGACAGUAACUGACGCUGAGGCGCGAAAGCGUGGGGAGCAAACAGGAUUAGAUACCCUGGUAGUCCACACUGUAAACGAUGAAGGCUAGGUGUAGGGGGUAUCGACCCCUUCUGUGCCGCAGUCAACACAAUAAGCAUUCCGCCUGGGGAGUACGGCCGCAAGGUUGAAACUCAAAUGAAUUGGCGGGG
rnacentral:rRNA from 1 species